rnacentral:rRNA from 1 species
CCUACGGGAGGCAGCAGUGGGGGAUAUUGCACAAUGGGGGAAACCCUGAUGCAGCGACGCCGCGUGGGUGAAGAAGUAUUUCGGUAUGUAAAGCUCUAUCAGCAGGGAAGAAAAUGACGGUACCUGACGAAGAAGCCCCGGAUAACUACGUGCCAGCAGCCGCGGUAAUAAGUAGGGGGCAAGCGUUAUCCGGAUUUACUGGGUGUAAAGGGAGCGGAGACGGCCAGACAAGUCAGAAGGGAAAGCCCAGGGUUCAACCCUGGGACUGCUUUUGAAACUGCCGGGCUGGAGUGCCGGAGAGGUAAGCGGAAUUCCUAGUGUAGCGGUGAAAUGCGUAGAUAUUAGGAGGAACACCAGUGGCGAAGGCGGCUUACUGGACUGUAACUGACGUUGAGGCUCGAAAGCGUGGGGAGCAAACAGGAUUAGAUACCCUUGUAGUC